rnacentral:misc_RNA from 1 species
GAUGAAGAACGUAGCGAAAUGCGAUAAGUAAUGUGAAUUGCAGAAUUCAGUGAAUCAUCGAAUCUUUGAACGCACAUUGCGCCCGCCAGCACUCUGGCGGGCAUGCCUGUUCGAGCGUCAUUUCAACCAUCAAGCCCCCAGGGGCUUGUGCUGGGGCCCUGCGGCUGCCCGCAGGCCCUGAAAACCAGUGGCGGGCUCGCUAGUCACACCGAGCGCAGUAGCACAUCUCGCUCAGGGCGUACGGCGGGCUCCUGCCGUGAAACCCCCCACUGUAACCCCAAAGGUUGACCUCGGAUCAGGUAGGAAUACCCGCUGAACUUAAGCAUAUCAAUAAGCGGAGGA